rnacentral:ncRNA from 1 species
AUUUUAGCUUUGAUAAGGAAAGUAACUUAAGAUAAGAUUUUCAGAGAGUCUUCGCUUGGUGAAAGAAGAUAAUUAAGUCUUACGCGAAAAUCACCUUUGAGCCGAGAGUGCGAUAAUUAGCAUUCUCAGGGUCCGCCCUAUACAGCGGCGACGUAUCGCUAAUCACAAAUAGAUUGGCCGCACGUGCAGAGGGUUAAAUGUUGAAAAACUUUUAACAAAAAUAGGUGGUACCGCGUUUUAAACGCCCUAUUA